rnacentral:tRNA from 1 species
CAAUUUAAAGCUUGAAAAGGAAAGUUUUUCAUUUACAUUGAAAAGAUUUAUGUGCAAAUCAUAAUAAAUUGA